rnacentral:rRNA from 1 species
GAUGAACGCUGGCGGCGUGCCUAAUACAUGCAAGUCGAGCGAAUGGAAGGGAGCUUGCUCCCUGAAGUUAGCGGCGGACGGGUGAGUAACACGUGGGCAACCUACCUACAAGAUUGGGAUAACUUCGGGAAACCGGAGCUAAUACCGGGUAAUACAUUGGAUCGCAUGGUUCGAUGUUGAAAGAUGGCUUCGGCUAUCACUUGUAGAUGGGCCCGCGGCGCAUUAGCUAGUUGGUGAGGUAACGGCUCACCAAGGCAACGAUGCGUAGCCGACCUGAGAGGGUGAUCGGCCACACUGGGACUGAGACACGGCCCAGACUCCUACGGGAGGCAGCAGUAGGGAAUCUUCCGCAAUGGACGAAAGUCUGACGGAGCAACGCCGCGUGAGUGAUGAAGGCCUUCGGGUCGUAAAGCUCUGUUGUUAGGGAAGAACAAGUACCGUUUGAAUAAGGCGGUACCUUGACGGUACCUAACCAGAAAGCCACGGCUAACUACGUGCCAGCAGCCGCUGUAA